UCUCAAUAUGGCCUAUUAAAAGCCUUCUCAGCUUCAUAGCUUUUAAAGCAGAAAGGGCAGGAAUGGCCUAAGAUGGAGCUGAAUCCCUGUAAUCAUUUCUUUUUCUGCCCUCACCCCUGAACUUUGAAGGCUAGUACAUAUCUUGUAACGGUCUGCUGUUUAAGCUGCUAGAAAGCUAGUCUCUGGAAGAGAUAGUGAUGUGUCACUGAAUCUGUGGUUCACAAAGAACUAAGAAUUGACUUCGG
rnacentral:lncRNA from 1 species